GAUGAACGCUAGCUACAGGCUUAACACAUGCCAGUCGAGGGGAAACGACAUUGAAGCUUGCUUCGAUGGUCGUCGACCGGCGCACGGGUGAGUAACGCGUAUCCAACCUGCCUCUGACCAAGGGAUAACCCGUCGAAAGUCGGCCUAAUACCUUAUGCAGUCGUCGGAAGUCAUCUGAUGACGACGAAAGAUUUCAUCGGUGAGAGAUGGGGAUGCGUCUGAUUAGCUUGUUGGCGGGGUAACGGCCCACCAAGGCAACGAUCAGUAGGGGUUCUGAGAGGAAGGUCCCCCACAUUGGAACUGGGACACGGUCCAAACUCCUACGGGAGGCAGCAGUGAGGAAUAUUGGUCAAUGGGCGAGAGCCUGAACCAGCCAAGUAGCGUGCAGGAUGACGGCCCUAUGGGUUGUAAACUGCUUUUAUGCGGGGAUAAAGUGAGGGACGUGUCCUUCAUUGCAGGUACCGCAUGAAUAAGGACCGGCUAAUUCCGUG
rnacentral:rRNA from 1 species